rnacentral:rRNA from 1 species
CCUGAACGCUGGCGGCGUGGCUAAGACAUGCAAGUCGAGCGGUAAGGCCCUUUCGGGGGUACACGAGCGGCGAACGGGUGAGUAACACGUGGGUGACCUGCCCUCAGCUCUGGGAUAAGCCUGGGAAACCGGGUCUAAUACCGGAUAUGACUCCAUGACGCAUGUUGUGGGGUGGAAAGCCUUGUGCGGCUGAGGAUGGGCCCGCGGCCUAUCAGCUUGUUGGUGGGGUGAGGCCUACCAAGGCGACGACGGGUAGCCGGCCUGAGAGGGCGACCGGCCACACUGGGACUGAGACACGGCCCAGACUCCUACGGGAGGCAGCAGUGGGGAAUCUUGCGCAAUGGGCGAAAGCCUGACGCAGCGACGCCGCGUGAGGGAUGACGGCCUCGGUGUAA